rnacentral:rRNA from 1 species
UUGGCGACGGGUGAGUAACGCGUGGAAAACCUGCCGUAUACUGGGGGAUAACACUUAGAAAUAGGUGCUAAUACCGCAUAAGCGCACAGCUUCGCAUGAAGCGGUGUGAAAAACUCUGGUGGUAUACGAUGGUUCCGCGUCUGAUUAGCUAGUUGGUGGGGUAAUGGCCUACCAAGGCAACGAUCAGUAGCCGGCCUGAGAGGGUGAACGGCCACAUUGGGACUGAGACACGGCCCAAACUCCUACGGAAGGCAGCAG